rnacentral:rRNA from 1 species
UACGGAGGGUGCAAGCGUUAUCCGGAUUCACUGGGUUUAAAGGGUGCGUAGGUGGGCUUGUAAGUCAGCGGUGAAAUCUCCGGGCUUAACCCGGAAACUGCCAUUGAUACUAUAAGUCUUGAAUUAUCUGGAGGUGAGCGGAAUAUGUCAUGUAGCGGUGAAAUGGCUUAGAUAUGACAUAGAACACCAAUUGCGAAGGCAGCUCACUACGGAUCGAUUGACACUGAGGCACGAAAGCGUGGGGAUCAAACAGG